rnacentral:piRNA from 1 species
UCAAGCUGAAGGAGUUUACGAGGACC